AGCAGCCGCGGUAAUUCCAGCUCCAAUAGCGUAUAUUAAAGUUGUUGCAGUUAAAAAGCUCGUAGUUGAAUUUCGGGAUCAGUUGAUCGGUCGUGCCUCGGUACGUACUGGUCAAAUUGAUUCCUACCUUCUGACGAACCACGAUGUCAUUAAUUUGGUGUCGUGGGAAAUCAGGACUGUUACUUUGAAAAAAUUAGAGUGUUUAAAGCAGGCUCGCGCUUGAAUACAUUAGCAUGGAAUAAUGAAAUAGGACGUUUGAUUCUAUUUUGUUGGUUUCUAGGAUCGACGUAAUGAUUAAUAGGGAUAGUUGGGGGCAUUAGUAUUCAAUUGUCAGAGGUGAAAUUCUUGGAUUUAUUGAAGACUAACUACUGCGAAAGCAUUUGCCAAGGAUGUUUUCAUUAAUCAAGAACGAAAGUUAGGGGAUCGAAGACGAUCAGAUACCGUCGUAGUCUUAACCAUAAACUAUGCCGACUAGGGAUC
rnacentral:rRNA from 1 species